GUUUUCUCAGGUAAUUUGUUUAAUUAUCUACCAACAGUAUCAAAACAUUACUAAGUAAUUAAUGUAACUUUCAAUACUUGCAGUGAUCAUGGAGAAAAGAAUCCUUCAUUGGGAAAACUGGAAGCUGACGGAGAUAGCCGCCGGGGCUGAUUGGAAUCGAUACAACCUUCGGGUGAAUUCAGAAAAGGUAAAAACAGCUACGAGGAUACGAUUGAUGGCUAAGUGGGCUAAGUUUCAUAUAGACUGUUCAAUCGAGCAUGUAGCCGUCAGCGUCAAAUCUAUUCUUGGAUUUGAACUUCCGGAAGAGAAUAUGACACAAUAACUUCCGUAAUGUGUCAACAUUCACAUGAAAAUUAUGCACAUAUCAGAAGUACUGGAAGUAGCAGACGUUCCCAACAUGGAUUUGUAAGCUUUUACGAUGAACACAAAUUGAAAGCUGAAGGAAUCAGCUGUCAAGUGGGAAUGGCUGAUUGAAAGCUUCAGAGCCGUAAGAACCUUCGGGAAAUCCAACUUUAGAAAUGGAUCUCCGCUUGACGAAGUAAGUAGUAUCUGGAUCACCCUUCAUGCCAACAUAAAAACGCAACACAUCGAGUGCAUCCGGCAGGCUUCGCUACAAACCACAGGAAUCAUUCCGUGUUCAUGCAGUCCGGAUGAUAGUCAACAAAACAUUAGCUGAAUGUAAUACAACAAGCUAUCGAUUUUCUGAUCUCUUUUUGAUUGUUGUAUUAGGAUCUAUUUUCAAUCUUGAUAAUUUUAUCAUUUCAGUAAAGGAUUGGGGAGGAUUACUAAAGGCGCUCGACAAAGAUAAGAUAGAAGAAAAUGUUUUAUACAAACGAAUUA